ACAACUGCUCCCAAGUUUGUCCAGAGAAUCUACCAGGCAUACAUCCCGGAGAACAAACCUUCAGGCAUGAAGGUGGCUGAAGUUCUUGCCAAGGAUGCCGACUCUGGAGUCAAUGCAGUAAUCAGGUAUUCCUUGGAUGGUGAUUAUGGAUUGGUCAUCGAUUCCACAUUCUGGAGUCAUCGUCACGAGUCCGUCCCUUGGACAGGGAGGCCACUCCUCAGAUAACUGUCAGGGUCCUGGCCGUGGACCAAGGGAACCCCCCUCUUACAGGCACCACCUCCCUCUUCGUUAAUGUCCAAGAUGUCAAUGACAAUGCCCCACGAUUCAAUGUCACUCAGUACAAUUUUAAUGUGUAUGAAAACAUGAACAAUAUUAACGUGGGCACGGUCCAUGCUGUGGACCUUGAUACUGAUUUGAACGGUCAGAUCCUCUAUACCGGUGAACUGAUGAUACCUUUGAAAUUAGAGGUGAUGGGACCAUAUUCACCAGGAGACCCUUGGAUUAUGAAGCUAAAAGGGUCCAUACAUUCACAGUGACCGCAAGAGACCAAGGCGAACAAGUUCAGUCAACGAAUAUCAACGUGAUAGUCCAUGUUAUUGAUACCAAUGAUAACGCUCCAAAAUGUGUCUUCCCAGAUGAGUAUAACCAUACCGUCAGUCUUCCAUACUUAACCAAGAUCGGUUCUCUCAUCACGACUGUCCAAGCUUAUGAUGCAGACUCUGGACGAAACAGCCACCUUAGCUUCCAGAUCCUCAGUGGAAAUGGACAUCAGACAUUUAAGCUGGAUUCCAACUCAGGAGAGCUUUUCUAUGACAAUACUUUUAUUAUAAGAAAGGACUCUGUUUUCAGGCUGAAUAUUUCUAUUUCUGACCAAGGGGAGCCCUCUCUGAGUUCUACCUGUGUUCUGGAGGUGAUGCUCACACACACCAAUAUGUCCAUGGAGCCAUUUUCCGAUGACGACGCCAACAACAAAUACGUUGUUAUCUGCGUCAUUGUUGUGAUCAUCACCAUCUUCUUCUCUACCGUCCUCAUCACCGUGAUCAUCAUCAUCCGCAGAAACUGACAGGCGAAAACCGGGAGAGGAAAGCUCAGCAAGAAAAGAUGAGGAAUCUUCAGCAGUUCCAGGGCAUUGACAAGCGGUACUACCAGAAUCAAACCCCGACCUUCCCAGAGGACCUCAGCAAGAAGAAGAAGAAGGAGGUCAGCUUCUCCCUGGAAGAUGACCUCGACAAGUCCUUGGACAUCUCCGGCCAUUCCAUCUUAGAUGACCAGCGUUUUAAUUUGUACCACCCCGGACCAGAGCAAGACAAGCUUAAACACUUUGACCAAUUCCUCAUCAAUCCAAAUGCAGACAAUAGAAAGAAUAACCUGCUGAAGGGUUCCCACGAUAGCAGUAGUGACACGUCCACGGAUUUGACGGCCAGUGACAGUGGGAGAGGGGGGAGUGACGUCGAGAUGCACCACUCCUCAAACGCUCCAGAUGAAGAAAAAACCUACAAUUUAUCAAAUCCCUACACGCAGGGCUUCAUCCUUCCCCCCUACAGUGUACACACCCCCCUGACCGGGGAGGAACUAGAGCCUCCAGCAAGUCGGACAAUAGUGCUAGCAAUAAGAAAGACUAUACAGGGCUCACACCCCGAGAGACAUUUGAGAAGAAACACGGAAUCAACCGGCAUUCUCAAGAAUCCACAAAGUCCGAGAGUUGUCCUCCCUUCUUAUGUCUGACCCUUCCUUCAAAUGUUUUUUUUUUUUCUUGUGAUUCCGGCAGUGGCCAAAGAAAAUGGACACAAAAUUUUGUGAACUUUUGACGACACAAUACAGUUUGUUCAAAUCCGUCCUGGAAUAUGUAUACUGUUUAGUAAAUUUGAUAUUUUUAUCUGCUUUGAAACAAAAAAACUGGUGGAUUUUGAUCUCAGGGAUUGUGUUAUCCCCACCCUUUACUCUUCGCUUGAAACUCAACUGCCAACCAAUCAACUGCUAGCUCUGGUCAACAGGGAAACUCCGAGAUGGAAAACUCCCAGAGGAAAUUGAAAAUUGGGAACUCUUUCAAGAAAUCUAAAGAGUGAAUAGACUGUAAACCUGUCCUCUGGUCGAGAUAGCGGUGGUGAAAUGUUAAGGCAGGCCCACCCUGAACCAAACACGAAAGGAGAUCGAGACCAAACUUAUUCACUAGUCUUGCCGAUCAUUAAUUUUGAAAAUACAGACAUUCUAUCUCAUCUUCUGAUACAGAAACCUAUUUAUAGUAAAGGUCACAAUGUGGAGCAGUGGUAUAGAUAAUCUAAGAAGAACCAGAAUAUCCACCCAAACACUCUUCUUUGUUUUCAGUAUACAGGGUCUAGCUGUUUUAUCAGGGUGCUAUUUUUGUGAAAUCUAUGUACAUGUACAGAGUUUGUAAAGUUGGACACGCUAAUUGAUGUAUGUAAUCUGUUUACCGUUUAUUGACAUUCGUGUCAAGUAAUGCUCAAUGUUUUUUUGUUAACGAUACACAACUGCUGGGUGUUAUAUAUACAUAACAGAUCUGAACUUUUUCCAUGAAAUACAUUUUUAUAUAUGUAUGAAAAUGUUUGCAAUUUUUUUUUAAUUAUACAUAUCAAUAAAGAAUAAAACCA
rnacentral:misc_RNA from 1 species